rnacentral:rRNA from 1 species
UACGUAGGAUGCAAGCGUUGUCCGGAUUUACUGGGCGUAAAGCGCGCGCAGGCGGCACUCUAAGUACGCUGUGAAAUAUCCCGGCUCAACCGGGAGGGUGCAGUGUAGACUAGGGAGCUAGAGGUCGGUAGAGGGGGGUGGAAUUGCUGGUGUAGCGGUGAAAUGCGUAGAGAUCAGCAGGAACACCCGUGGCGAAGGCGGCCCCUGGGCCGUACCUGACGCUGAGGCGCGAAGGCUAGGGGGAGCGAACGGG